rnacentral:rRNA from 2 species
GGCGGCGUGCUUAAUACAUGCAAGUCGAGCGGAUGAAAGGGAGCUUGCUCCCUGGAUUCAGCGGCGGACGGGUGAGUAACACGUGGGCAACCUGCCUGUAAGACUGGGAUAACUCCGGGAAACCGGGGCUAAUACCGGAUAACUUCUUUUCUCGCAUGGGGAGAGGUUGAAAGACGGUUUUGCUGUCACUUACAGAUGGGCCCGCGGCGCAUUAGCUAGUUGGUGGGGUAACGGCCUACCAAGGCGACGAUGCGUAGCCGACCUGAGAGGGUGAUCGGCCACACUGGGACUGAGACACGGCCCAGACUCCUACGGGAGGCAGCAGUAGGGAAUCUUCCGCAAUGGACGAAAGUCUGACGGAGCAACGCCGCGUGAGUGAUGAAGGCCUUCGGGUCGUAAAACUCUGUUAUCAGGGAAGAAUAAGCAUUGGUUAACUGCCAGUGCCUUGACGGUACCUGACCAGAAAGCCACGGCUAACUACGUGCCAGCAGCCGCGGUAAUACGUAGGUGGCAAGCGUUGUCCGGAAUUAUUGGGCGUAAAGCGCGCGCAGGCGGCUUCUUAAGUCUGAUGUGAAAGCCCACGGCUCAACCGUGGAGGGUCAUUGGAAACUGGGAGGCUUGAGUGCAGAAGAGAAGAGCGGAAUUCCACGUGUAGCGGUGAAAUGCGUAGAGAUGUGGAGGAACACCAGUGGCGAAGGCGGCUCUUUGGUCUGUAACUGACGCUGAGGCGCGAAAGCGUGGGGAGAGAACAGGAUUAGAUACCCUGGUAUUCCACGCCGUAAACGAUGAGUGCUAA